UGGUAGCGUGCGCGUGCCAGUCGAGGGAACCCGGUGAGAGUCCGGGACUGACGCGCAGCGGUGUGGGUGACGGGCGGAGCAGGUCUCACGACAGCCACUGGACGAGGUCGUCCGGGAAGGCGCUCCUCCCCGGUGGAACCCGAGUCCGAAGACCUGCUGGCCUCCGCGGCAACAG
rnacentral:ncRNA from 2 species